rnacentral:lncRNA from 1 species
GUCUUGGUAUGGAUCCUUAAGAAUCCUAUCACUUUUAAGCUUAGAAAUUGCAUUGUUAUUUUCAAAUUGGGGAUUCUUAGGUGGGAUAUUGGAUUGUUGACUAGGUCCAGGUGGUUGGUGGAUGGGUGGGUCAUUUUCAAAAUUUGAUAUUAUUUGGCUUGGUAAUUGAUCUAGUUUUCUCCUCAUGGUAGACUCAGCUAACUAAUCUAUUUGUACUUCUAGCUUGGUGAG